rnacentral:rRNA from 1 species
CACCGCGGUUAUACGAGAGGCCCAAGUUGACAACUCACGGCGUAAAGAGUGGUUAAUAUACUACUAAACUAAAGUCGAACACCUUCCAGGCUGUUAUACGCACCUGAAGGCAGGAAGCUCUGCCACGAAAGUGACUUUAAUACAUAUGACCCCACGAAAGCUAGGAAACAAACUGGGAUUAGAUACCCCACUAUGCCUAGCCGUAAACAUAAGCAGCCUAUCACUCCGCUGUUCGCCAGGGGACUACAAGCCCCAGCUUAAAACCCAAAGGACUUGGCGGUGCUUUAGACCCCCCUAGAGGAGCCUGUUCUAGAAUCGAUAAUCCCCGUUCCACCUCACCCUCUCUUGUUCUUCCCGCCUAUAUACCGCCGUCGUCAGCUUACCUUGUGAAAGAUAAAUAGUAAGCAGAAUUGGCAAAGCCCAAAACGUCAGGUCAAGGUGUAGCGUACGAGAGGGGAAGCAAUGGGCUACAUUUACUGUUUCAGUAAACACGAAUCUUGCACUGAAAAGAGCAUAUGAAGGAGGAUUUAGCAGUAAGGGGGGAUCACGAGAGCCCCUCUGAAAACGGCCCUGAAGCGCGCACACACCGCCCGUCACUCUCCCCAACGGACCACUGCACAUAAAUAAUAUCUGCCCACCACAAAGGGGAGGCAAGUCGUAACAUGGUAGGCG